AUGCAGUUCGGCCGCCGAUACCUGUUUGUUAUGCUAGUCAGAGCUAAUGUGGCCUCGAACUGAGAUCUGGCGCGGGUCAGUACAUAAUGACCCCAGACUAUGUGACGACAGGCAUUGUAUCCGACUGGGCCGACCACAGAGAAAUUAAAGAUGAGGGUCUGAUUCAGAGGCAGCUGCAGGUCUUUUUCUGCCGUACAGUGUCCAGCGGUGUUUAAGAUGGCUGAGCUUCAGGCAGCGGUGCAGCGGUGUAAUUGGAAGACGAGGCGCUCCGUUCCUGGCUAGUUAUAUCAGUGAGGUACGGGUCAGACUGGUUUAUAUCAGACCGCUGGCGAUGAAGAACCAAAUCAGACCACCUCAGCCUGAGGGUCAGUGUGUGUGCAUCAGUAGUCACCCUACAUUUAUGCAUAUAUAUGUGAAGCACGUUUGUAAGAUCAGGAGUUUUCCUGCUGUCACUGUCGGUGAUAUCUGUGAGGUAAGGGACUGUGUGUAAAUUCUAGGAUUUCUUUUUUCUUUUUGCCGAGGAUUUGCACUGAAAAUGUAAUGGAAAAAAAUGAAGGACCCUUUGAUAAUUUUUCGUAUCCCCCCAAGGUCCAAUUUGCCAUAUAAGAACAACAAGUGUGUCUCUGAAUUGGAGGUUUAAUGUCCUGAUCAAAAUCAAAUAAAAGCAAAUAUACGUUGAUCUUCA